rfam:Culex pipiens quinquefasciatus supercont3.33 genomic scaffold, whole genome shotgun sequence.
GGCUCCGUGGUUUAAUGGUUAUGGCUUCUGCCUCACAAGCAAAAGGUUCAGGGUUCAAAUCCCGGUCGGUACCU